ensembl:lncRNA
AUAAUUACGCCUGAUUGGGGUUGUUGUUGUUGGACCCCCGACUUACAACAGCGUCCCUUGCUGUCUGGAUCAAUCUGCUGUGUCUGCACGCAACCUUCCUCUGAACUCUGCACAUUUACAUGCAUGUGGAUAUUUACAUAAAUAUGGAUUUGGAUGGAGCCAACAUGGUGACGUGCAUCGCGUUGACCACAGGGACGCUACAAAACGGUCAGAGACGUCGUGUCUGGUUGAUGAAAGUGGGUGUUGGAAUUCUCCUAACUUGUCUUGUCUGUUGCACCUUCCUGCUCCUUGUUUACAGUUCGCAGAUGUCCUUGUAUCUGAUCAAUGUGAUUACUCUUAAUGGCGUCUGGUACAUGUUUUUAUUGGUGCUGUAAAAUGUUCCACAUUGAGGCGAUGCACUCAGAAACUAAAGAUGAACGUUAGCCUCUCAUGAAUCCAGGGUCGCAGCUCCGCGUUUGUUGCAGAUUAAAGUCCUGAUGGUAAUUAUACUCUGACCUUAAAAUGGUCAAAGGAUGAAAAGAUACGACAUCUUUAGUUUAGUUAUAUGUUUUACAACCUUAUCAAGGCUCAUACUCUGCGUGUGUCUGAGGAGCCUUUCAGUGAGAUAAACACUUGAGCCACAGAUUCUGAGUGGGGAAUCUAUAAUGUUGAAUAGCAAGGUUAGGCUUAUUGUUUAUCUCGCUCUGCCUGCACGCUGCGCCACAAUAGGAAUAUUUUUCUUUCCUCGCUGAACCAAAGUUUCCAAUCAAAUCUGCAGCUAAAUGUGUGGCUGCGGCUGAGAGGAGGUGAAGUGUCAAUGCCUCCAAUUCGAACCGCAAGUCAGCCGCUAAUAAUUAGAGACCUUGUGAACGGGGGCUUCUCUUUGUAGUAUUUGGAUAAAGCAGACAUUAGUUUACUUUGAUUAACCAUGUAGGACAAUGGUAUAGGAUAUUUCAUGUAUUCUCUAUUGUCAAAAUAUACCAUCAUAUUUUUGCUGUGUUUUACCACAGAGCCCCAUAGUUGCACUCAUGGUGACAUGUUCCUUUAUUAUGUUGCUUCAGUUUCUUAUGAAUCCCUCAGUGUCCUGCUGCUAUUUAACUAUCAGUGGAAGAACACAUGUUUAUUAAUUCUCAGUCCCUCUUCAUCAAAUGAGUUGUGGCUAUAAUGGUGAGAGAUGAUGGAGGAACAGAAGUGCGUCGUGAUGGGCGAGCGAGCACGGAGAACGAGGUAACGUGCGGCGGACGCGUGACACGAAGAAGAAGCGCGUGAGUUGCGGCCGACGCUUUGAGCGUAGAUCUCCCAGUCACGAGCAAGAACCGCGCCAUUAAAUAAGAUGAGAAUAUAAUUGAUCCAUUCAGUGGGCCCACGGUCCAUUUCAGAUGUGUAAUCAACAGGCGGUGCUAGUGGUGUGAUUUAAUGCUCCUAAAAACACGCUUUUGUUGUCAGUCAGACUGGGGGAAGCGUAAUGGACGUCUUAUCAGUGACAGUACGUGCUGCUACAUGGAACCGUGUGCGUGCGUGCGUGUGUGACUGCAGCAAUGCGCGUUCUUCAUGCCGAGGACAGAACUGAUGGACGCGCUCUUACCCUGAACCUCUGAGCUGUGGCGCCCUGCACGUAGAGGACGGUGUGUGGAGUCUAAUCCCCAAAAACAGGCUUGAAGGGAAGAAGCGGCCAUUGAAGAGAGACACUAUGUCAGGAUCUCUCCCUCUCUGCUUCCUCAAAUCUUUUCUUUUUUUAUUUACCAACUCUUGAUCUCCUCGGCGUUUCAUUUCCAAGCUGGAUACAGUCCAGCCAAGUUUAACGCCGUCACCCCUGACCCCCCCCCCCCCCCCUUACUCCUCCCGUUGUCCUCCUGUCGAGCUCUUGAUCUCCAUCGCUGACGUGUCACUGCUUUUAUCUGGUCACCCCGAGCAACCUCUCCAUCUUAUUGUCCUGCUGCUGCUAUCUGCCUCUUUGUCGCUCUGAUGAGGGUCAGCGGGUCAGCUGGAGGGCUCGCCGUUAGCGCGUAGAGCUGCCGUGCAUGUGCACGCGGGUGAAGUGUGUACAGAAGGUAAUCAAGUCCUUUAAUGACCGCUGAGAGGGAAAGUAGAAUAACAAAGCAUUACAGGUGGGAAGAUAUAGAUUUAAGGAUGUAUAGUGUCGGCGUUUGUAGAUUGUAGUUGACGCUACGGAAAAUGUACUGUAUGUUUAUACCGUAGAUUGAAAAAUGGCAACGCACCUUAACCAUGGAAAAAAACCUGAGGUUUUAGAAGGUUUCGGUGUCUUAUACUGCUGUAAACACAAAUCACAACUGAGAGAUUUGGGAUAUCAUAGAAUUAUAGAAGGUGAGACAGCAGACUUAUUUUAUUAGACAUGAUGCGUGAGACUGAAUCCGUGAAGAGGAAAAGGUAAUUGUAAGGCAUUUGUUGACAUCAGUAAGAUUUUAGCAAAACAAGAAACAGAAAUCUACUUCUAAUCUAAAUGCCAAAUAAGUGGAGAUUGUGGUAUUUUGUGUUCUUUCUCCUGACACAUGGAGUUACACUGUCAGGCGUUUCCUCCUUUCUGUUGCCUUCGAUGCUGACCAGUUGCUCUCUCUCUCUCUCUCUGCUUUAUCCAUGUCAGCUCAACAAUAGGAAACUGCUGAUGUAGUAAACAAACUGUGUCCAGAGCCGUUCACCGGCCUCCCAUUUUAUCACCCACUUCUGUCCUUUCUGGGUAAAUAACGUACAUUUAUAUCUGCAGUCUUAAAAGUUGAAUUCUGUCACAUGUCGUUAUUGAAAUGCUGUCAAAGUACACGGGAGGAGAGCGCGUGUGAUACUGUGUGUGCUGAACUCUCACUGGGUAUCGACAGUGUCCCUUUUCUGUCUGUCUGUGUGUGUGUGUGUGUGUGUGUGUGCGCGUGUGUGUGUGAGACGGUGGCUCAUUGUGCAGGCUGGUAAUGAGAGACGCUCGGCGUGCGCUGCAACCAACCAGCCUGUUUGCUUAGGUGCUGCUCUUCUGCUGUGUGUGUGUGUUUACGUACAUGCGUACACGUGGGUUCGGAUGCAACUAUUUGUACAGCUUUCUCAAGGUUGCCUGAUCGCAGCCAGGAGACAACCAUGAUAGUGUGUGUGUGUGUGUGUGUGUGUGUGUUUGCCUCGGGGAAUUGAAUCUAGAGUAAACACACAUGUCCGUCUCUUUCCCAGGCGGAGUUGGAUGGAUGAAUGGGCCGGUAGUGAUGUUGACAAGCUGAUCCACUGCUCAUGUAAUUGUGCGUGUGUGUGUGUGUGUGGGGGUGUGUGUCUGUAGGUGUGUUGCUCUACAAAAUGGAAGUGAAGGGGAGAGUUUUGAACCCUUUCUAAAUCCUAACAAUAAUAGUGGUAUAUUAUGGCUCAUGUUCGCAGGCUUUGAAUAUUUAUUACCUGGUGUAAAUCACGGUCUUUUGAUUUUUGUGGAUUUAAUUCUUGCAAAACAAAAGAUAAAAAGAAAAUCAUGCUCUUUCACGAUCAGUUUAAUGAAUUAAAUUGUGAAAUGACAUAAAGACAAAAAAAUCUCUUUUCCUAAGACAUCGAGAUUUAGUUUAUCUGAGCAUGUUUACAUUUAAAGUGGCGUAAAACAUUAAAAAGCGCUGUUCACAAAUCUGCCCUCCGAUCCUGUCUGACCCUGUGGAUAAAAAAUGUCUGGCUCUUAAGUGCUAAAACCAUCACAUGGUGUCACUUGUUUGCAUUGAACCAUUUGGCAGUUUUACGUUGAAGCAGGAAGUCUGUUUGUAAACUGUGAUGGAUGAAACCCGUCUGACCACAGGAAACCUUCGCUGUGUUCCCAAAGGUCAGCAGUUAACUUGGCGCGGACUAUUUCGUGUUACUGAUGCAAUUUACUGUGAAAACAAGAGGGUUUGAGUGAACUAGAAUGGAGAGUUUAAUGGUGUUGGCAUGUAGCACCAAAACACUUUUUUUUGGUACAUUUUCUUCUCCUUGGACAAUCAGUCCUAUCGAGUAAACAGACACACGAGAGAGAGAGAGAGAGAGAGAGAGAGAGACACGAUGCGUCGAGCCGCUGUGAUAACGUCUCUCUCGCGCGCUCUAAAAAGAGAGAGAUAAAGGAUCUUUUCUCCGUUCUACAUGCCGGGCAACUCCCAGCGGCCUCU